GAUGAACGCUGGCGGCGUGCUUAACACAUGCAAGUCGAACGGUGAAGCAGGAGCUUGCUCUUGUGGAUCAGUGGCGAACGGGUGAGUAACACGUGAGCAACCUGCCCCUGACUCUGGGAUAAGCGCUGGAAACGGCGUCUAAUACUGGAUAUGUGAUGUGACCGCCUGGUCUGCAUCUGGAAAGAAUUUCGGUUGGGGAUGGGCUCGCGGCCUAUCAGCUUGUUGGUGAGGUAAUGGCUCACCAAGGCGUCGACGGGUAGCCGGCCUGAGAGGGUGACCGGCCACACUGGGACUGAGACACGGCCCAGACUCCUACGGGAGGCAGCAGUGGGGAAUAUUGCACAAUGGGCGGAAGUCUGAUGCAGCAACGCCGCGUGAGGGAUGACGGCCUUCGGGUUGUAAACCUCUUUUAGCAGGGAAGAAGCGAAAGUGACGGUACCUGCAGAAAAAGCACCGGCUAACUACGUGCCAGCAGCCGCCGUAA
rnacentral:rRNA from 1 species